AGAGUUUGAUCAUGGCUCAGGAUGAACGCUGGCGGCGUGCCUAAUACGUGCAAGUCGAGCGAACAGACGAGGAGCUUGCUCCUCUGACGUUAGCGGCGGACGGGUGAGUAACACGUGGAUAACCUACCUAUAAGACUGGGAUAACCUCGGGAAACCGGAGCUAAUACCGGAUAAUAUAUUGAACCGCAUGGUUCAAUAGUGAAAGACGGUUUUGCUGUCACUUAUAGAUGGAUCCGCGCCGCAUUAGCUAGUUGGUAAGGCAACGGCUUACCAAGGCAACGAUGCGUAGCCGACCUGAGAGGGUGAUCGGCCACACUGGAACUGAGACACGGUCCAGACUCCUACGGGAGGCAGCAGUAGGGAAUCUUCCGCAAUGGGCGAAAGCCUGACGGAGCAACGCCGCGUGAGUGAUGAAGGUCUUCGGAUCGUAAAACUCUGUUAUUAGGGAAGAACAAAUGUGUAAGUAACUAUGCACGUCUUGACGGUACCUAAUCAGAAAGCCACGGCUAACUACGUGCCAGCAGCCGCGGUAAUACGUAGGUGGCAAGCGUUAUCCGGAAUUAUUGGGCGUAAAGCGCGCGUAGGCGGUUUUUUAAGUCUGAUGUGAAAGCCCACGGCUCAACCGUGGAGGGUCAUUGGAAACUGGAAAACUUGAGUGCAGAAGAGGAAAGUGGAAUUCCAUGUGUAGCGGUGAAAUGCGCAGAGAUAUGGAGGAACACCGGUGGCGAAGGCGACUUUCUGGUCUGUAACUGACGCUGAUGUGCGAAAGCGUGGGGAUCAAACAGGAUUAGAUACCCUGGUAGUCCACGCCGUAAACGAUGAGUGCUAAGUGUUAGGGGGUUUCCGCCCCUUAGUGCUGCAGCUAACGCAUUAAGCACUCCGCCUGGGGAGUACGACCGCAAGGUUGAAACUCAAAGGAAUUGACGGGGGCCCGCACAAG
rnacentral:rRNA from 1 species